rnacentral:rRNA from 1 species
UACAUGUGGGGCAAGCGUUGUUCGGAAUUACUGGGCAUAAAGGGUGCGUAGGUGGUCUGAUAAGUCAGUGGUGAAAUCCCGUGGCCCAACCAUGGAACUGCCAUUGAUACUGUUGGACUCGAGUGCGUGAGGGGUGACUGGAACGCGUGGUGUAGCGGUGAAAUGCGUAGAUAUCACGCGGAAGGCCAACGGCGAAGGCAAGUCACUGGUGCGCAACUGACACUGAGGCACGAAAGCGUGGGGAGCAAACAGG